rnacentral:rRNA from 1 species
UACGUAGGGGGCUAGCGUUGUCCGGAAUCAUUGGGCGUAAAGAGCGUGUAGGCGGUCCGGUAAGUCCGCUGUGAAAGUCGGGGGCUCAACCCUCGAAUGCCGGUGGAUACUGUCGGGCUAGAGUGCGGAAGAGGCGAGUGGAAUUCCUGGUGUAGCGGUGAAAUGCGCAGAUAUCAGGAGGAACACCUAUUGCGAAGGCAGCUCGCUGGGACGUAACUGACGCUGGAGACGCGAAAGCGUGGGGGAGCAAACAGG